rnacentral:rRNA from 1 species
AUUGAACGCUGGCGGCAUGCCUUACACAUGCAAGUCGAACGGCAGCACGGGUGCUUGCACCUGGUGGCGAGUGGCGAACGGGUGAGUAAUACAUCGGAACAUGUCCUGUAGUGGGGGAUAGCCCGGCGAAAGCCGGAUUAAUACCGCAUACGAUCUACGGAUGAAAGCGGGGGACCUUCGGGCCUCGCGCUAUCGGGUUGGCCGAUGGCUGAUUAGCUAGUUGGUGGGGUAAAGGCCUACCAAGGCGACGAUCAGUAGCUGGUCUGAGAGGACGACCAGCCACACUGGGACUGAGACACGGCCCAGACUCCUACGGGGCAGCAGUGGGGAAUUUUGGACAAUGGGCGAAAGCCUGAUCCAGCAAUGCCGCGUGUGUGAAGAAGGCCUUCGGGUUGUAAAGCACUUUUGUCCGGAAAGAAAUCCUUGGCCCUAAUACGGUCGGGGGAUGACGGUACCGGAAGAAUAAGCACCGGCUAACUACGUG